rnacentral:lncRNA from 1 species
AAUUCUUCCCCCACCCAUCAGCAAAGAAAAAGGGAGGUGGGGGUGGCUAACCUUCCCUCUUUCUGUCAUGCUAAGCCUGGCCUGUGUCUUCUAGUUGUUGCUUUAGAAAGAGUCUGGGCCUUUCUGGAAGCCUUUGCAGAGCUGUUCCUGAUUGACUGCUCCCUCCGACUGGGGAAGGAAAUCAGAUGCACCAAGACGGCUGGGGUUGAGUGGAGAUGGGCAGCGUGUGUAGGGAUAAGUCAAGGGACUCUCUCCUGUGCUCGUAACCUCAGGCGCUCCACAGUCCCCCCUGUCAUCCUACAUCACCGCCGGGAAGCAAGGGCACCGUUUUCAGGGGGUGGCAGGUGCUGUCGGCACAAGCAGCCGCUUUGGCAGAACUAGGACAGCGCUCGGGAGAUUGCUUCCUUAGGAGACGCGUGCUCAGCCUGGAGGAGUUGGUUAAACAUACUCCUGGUGCGACCCUUGAUGGGUCUGGUAUAAGCACAGCCUCCACCACAAGCCUCCUGGGAGCUCCGAAGUCAGCGCUUUCACUGUAAAUGCUUCCUCUGUGCAAGUGGGCAGAGAACCUGUGUGGCUCCGAUGCUUGCAAGAAGAGGGAUGGAGCUGCGGUUUGAACUACUUUCCCUGAGAAAUAACAUCCCAAAGCUUUCUAGGCCUAUUAGGAAUCACAGCUUGACACUCAAUGACACUAAAUUAUUAUUGGGAUCUGUUGACUCUGCAGAGCCGGCUGCGGUGGCGAGAUGUUUCCCUCCAGUGGCGGAAGAACAGACGCAGGCGGUGGUUUCAGGCCCAGGGCAGAGCCAUGAGAACAGGACAUGCAGACCAGGGGAGCAAACACAGCAGCAUUUUCAGCAGGCUUUUUGGUCCUAUGAAUUGUCAGGUCUUGUGGCUGCUGGGCUGCGCUGUGGAGUGAGAACUGCUCGCGCUAUCUGCGUCCCCAGGUCAGCCUGCUCCAGCUCAGUCAGUGUUUACCUCCUGAAUGCUAACCGCAAGACUUGCAGAGCCUCCCCUGGAAAAAAACAGCUCAGGACAGUUAUUUUUAUGGAAAUAAUGAAGCAGGCAAUCGGUGAGUGGGUUUGUAGCCUUUUUGGAGGUAACCCUUCAGCUGCUGGGAGCACCCACUGCCAUUGGGGCAGGCUGCGUGCUCUGUCCCCAGCCUCCUGGCCCCAGUGUCACCGCACUGUUCCCACUUCUGCCUUCCCCAGGCCAUGGCAGCAGUUUGCUCCUCCAUCCUGGAGAAAGGUGAGGUUGCAUUUCGCUGAGGGCUGGCUAGGUUUGGCGCCCCGCCACGCUCUUGUGCUGGUUCUCUUUAGCCCAUGGCAAGCAUAUGCCGAACAUCCCACCCUGCUGUGUGUUUUUAUGAGUACAAGCUUCUCAUUCUGUACAUGUUAUUAUGAGCUAUUGUUAACCCUACAAAUGUAACCUGUGUAAUAGCUUUUCUGUAUAUUACAGCUGUAGGCUUUCCAGAUAAAAGUGGAUAAUAUUUAUUUACUGAAGAUAUUGGAUAUUUUUUUGUUUGGGAAUGGGGUAGGGGGAGAAGGGGGAUGUAACUGUUUAAAGAGAUUGACUAUGUAAAGAGAAACAAAAUACCCAAAAAGCAAAGAAACCCAACACUAAAAUGUUGCUGUAUUCAUGUAGAAAGUGUUUACGUAAGGAUGAUACAACUGUAUUAAUCUACCAUUGUUUAACUCGUUCCGGAAAUCAUCUCUACUUUGGUUCCUGCAUGUGAGAUACUCCAAUAAAUGCACUACUAGUGUGAACUGUAGGAUGGUA